AACAGGUGACCUUCCUGAGCAGUUGCAAAAGUGCUGAAGGAACCGGAAGCUUGAAGUUGGGGUGUGGAGGACACAGGUGCACCCACUUCCUCACCAAAGGCUGUGGUAGAGACCACAGGUGUCAGCAACAAUGGCAGCCCAGGGGACGUGAGGCACGUGGGCCUACUUCUCAGCAGACACCAGUGAUGAGGAGGGGUGAGCCGUGGCUAAAAGCUGCGAGGCUGGGAGGAGACAGCUCCGAACUGGGCGCUGGGGAAGCCUCUCAGCUGGAGGGACGACUACCUCGUCUGACCAGGUAUCUGCCUGAAAGACAGACCCUCACACGGAGCGACUGUACCCUCAUGGCUCCCGUAAUCCAAGUUCUCGGUCUCAGCUGGAACUGGGGUCUCAAGAGUUCUCACUGUGUUCACCCAUUCUUCUGAGUUUGUUACCUCCAAGUUUAAGGCCACCUCAUGUUCCAAGACAGCUGCUAGAGUGCCAGCCCUUAGAUACAAGACCAGAGGAAGAAAUGCCUGAUGCAAAUACUUGUUCCACGUAGGCCUAACGUUGGAAGUCUCCUGAAAUGAAAUACAACCUUUCACUGAACUGACCUAUUCUGAGGACUAAGAGACCGAUUCAGAUGAUAGUGCCUGAUUUAAAGCUUUAAUUGCCAAGGCAUCCACUUGAAAGAUGAUCUCCAGUAAACACAUGGUCAGCCACAAGACUAGAUACAGCCAGGCUACCUCACCCCACUGAUGCUUCUUUUAGAGAUUUUGAUAACUGAUCUUUUCUCAUGCUUUAAAUUCCUGCUUUGGGGCACCUGGGUGGCUCAGCUGUUAAGCAUCUGCCUCUGGCUCAGGUCAUGAUCCCAGGGUCCUGGGAUUGAGUCCCGCAUCGGGCUCCCUGCU